GUGUUGGGGAGGGGUUUGCAAGAAUCUGGAAGCUUGUGUGUUUUUUUCUGCAUUUUUAUGAUUUUCUGUGACCAUUGGGCCACUCUGCUGUUUUUUAAAAAAUUCUGGAUUUGAAUUUCUGUGUGGUGGGUGGCUGGGGAACAGUUGGGGAGGGGUUGCAAGAAUCUGGAAGCUUGUGUUUUUUUUCUGCAUUUUUAUGAUUUUCUGUGACCAUUGGGCAACUCUGCUGUUUUUUAAAAAAAAUUCUGGGUUUGAAUUUUGAAAUGCUCUUUACAGUAUGUGUGACUUUAAAGAGCACUUAAUAAACUCUUGUUGUACCAAAUUUGGCUUUGUUUGGACUUUUUUUGACCAUAGGAACGCAUUAAUUGAUUUUCAAUGCAUUCCUAUGGGAUUUCGUGCUUUGCAAGACGAAAAAUUCGCUAGACGAAAAAAUUCACGGAACGAAUUAAUUUCGUCUUGCGAGGCACCACUGUAUGUUGUUUAGAUGUAAAGGAAUUUUAGGCUUCUGUUAUCAUCACCCUGAGUUUUAGUACCUCAAUAGUAUAAUGUGUUUGGCAAAAGGCUUGAGUUUACCCUCAACCCCCACUUCCUACCAGGAUAGCGCCAGCUUGCUUGAAAUGGGCUGGGAUAGGUUUGGUUAUAACUCCAGGGGUGUCCAACCGGUCAGCCGCGAUUGACAGGUCGACCUCUGGAUGAUCGUGAUCGAUCGCAGGAUCCUUAUAGCUCACGUUGUUUACAAUCAUGUAUCCGC